rnacentral:rRNA from 1 species
UACGUAGGGUGCGAGCGUUGUCCGGAAUUAUUGGGCGUAAAGAGCUCGUAGGCGGUUUGUUGCGUCUAUCGUGAAAACCUGCAGCUUAACUGUGGGCUUGCGGUGGAUACGGGCAGACUUGAGUUCGGUAGGGGAGGACUGGAAUUCCUGGUGUAGCGGUGAAAUGCGCAGAUAUCAGGAGGAACACCGGUGGCGAAGGCGGGUCUCUGGGCCGAUACUGACGCUGAGGAGCGAAAGCGUGGGGAGCGAACAGG